rnacentral:misc_RNA from 1 species
UGGUUCUGGCAUCGAUGAAGAACGCAGCGAAAUGCGAUAAGUAAUGUGAAUUGCAGAAUUCAGUGAACCAUCGAAUCUUUGAACGCACAUUGCGCCCGCCAGUAUUCUGGCGGGCAUGCCUGUCCGAGCGUCAUUUCAACCCUCGGGCCCCCUUUGCUGGGAGCCCGGCGUUGGGGCUCAGGCGUCCCCCGCGGCGCCUGUCCCCUAAAUCCAGUGGCGGCCUCGCCGCUGCCUCCUCCGCGUAGUAGCACAAACCUCGCGGGCGGAAGGCGGCGCGGCCACGCCGUAAAACCCCAACUUUCUGAGUGUUGACCUCGGAUCAGGUAGGAAUACCCGCUGA